UCUCUGGUAGUAUAGUGGUGAGUAUCCGCGCCUGUCACGUGCGAGACCGGGGUUCGAUUCCCCGCCAGAGAG
rfam:Strongyloides stercoralis strain PV0001 genome assembly, scaffold: SSTP_contig0000058